CAUCUCGGCUUUGGUGAGAACUGAACUAAGUUUUUUUUUCCUCUGAAUACUUGGAAAAAUGUCUUUUUAUGUUACGGGUUUCAGAACUAUUUGCCUUAAAAAAGUGAGAAAACAUCUUCCCUUCUUGAAUCUUUCCCUAGCUCGAUCGGUUUGUUUUCACAUCCUCGCAAUCUUAGGUAUGUACUCCAAGACAUGGUUAAACUCCUGAUAUUGAAAGUUUUCUCUAGUGAUGCUAUAUGCCCACGUGAAGUAUGUCUCUUUCUUUUUAUUUCAGUCCAACUUAUUCGGAGUUCGAAACUCAAAUUUGUUGAAUUGUAGAGAAAUCAUGGCCACACUUUCAUUGUCUGUCACUUGAGCAAUACGUGUGUGCGAAUAAUUUUACAACUCAGACUCUCACUCUAUUUUGUUCUUCUUUAAACUGUGUACCAGUGGGUCUAGGUGGAUUAACAAUGGCUCUGAGUUCGAUCGAGUUUCUUUACAGUAUCCACCAUUCACUUGUGUCAAAUCAGCUUUUCAGUGUAUGGCUUCCAUAUUUUGACUACAAUUCUUAUCAGAAGGCAUGAUAGUAAUAAGUGACAAAGAUGCAAAAAACAUAAAAGUUGUCCUCCACUUUUGGUUAGAGGCUGAAGAUGAACUUUCUAAGUUGGACAUUAAAUUCAGCAGCGGCACAAUAUAAUCUUGAGGGAAGAAAGCCUUUUCAAGAAAUGGUUCUGUUCCGUUACUAAGAGACGCAAUGACUGUUACUCUUCUAUUGUUCCGUUACUGAAAUAGUUUGAAGUUUUGAACUUUAGAUUUAUUUCCUUUUAUGAGACUCUACAAAUCUUAGUUUUGUUGGUUAUUGGGGAUGUUUCACCGUCUCUGAAAUAGUUAAAAAAAUUUAACUUUAGAUUUUUG
rnacentral:lncRNA from 1 species